rnacentral:rRNA from 1 species
UACGAAGGGGGCUAGCGUUGCUCGGAAUCACUGGGCGUAAAGGGUGCGUAGGCGGGUCUUUAAGUCAGGGGUGAAAUCCUGGAGCUCAACUCCAGAACUGCCUUUGAUACUGAAGAUCUUGAGUUCGGGAGAGGUGAGUGGAACUGCGAGUGUAGAGGUGAAAUUCGUAGAUAUUCGCAAGAACACCCGUAGCGAAGGCGGCACUCUGGGCCGGUACUGACGCUGAGGAGCGAAAGCGUGGGGAGCGAACAGG